CCUACGGGUGGCAGCAGUGGGGAAUAUUGGGCAAUGGGCGCAAGCCUGACCCAGCAACGCCGCGUGAAGGAAGAAGGCUUUCGGGUUGUAAACUUCUUUUCUCAGGGACGAAGCAAGUGACGGUACCUGAGGAAUAAGCCACGGCUAACGACGUGCCAGCAGCCGCGGUAAUACGGAGGGGGCAAGCGUUAUCCGGAUUUACUGGGUGUAAAGCGCGUGUAGGCGGGGACGCAAGUCAGAUGUGAAAACCACGGGCUCAACCUGUGGCCUGCAUUUAAAAAUGUGUGUCUUGAGUACUGGAGAGGCAGACGGAAUUGCUAGUGUAGCGGUGAAAUGCGUAGAGAUUAGGAGGAACACCAGUGGCGAAGGCGGUCUGCUAGACAGCAACUGACGCUGAGGCGCGAAAGCGUGGGGAGCAAACAGGAUUAGAUACCCGAGUAGUC
rnacentral:rRNA from 1 species